rnacentral:misc_RNA from 1 species
GAAUUUCUACCUGCCUGCCAUCCAAGGCGUUGAUCAUAAUUUAUUAAGAUACAUGGUUUUUAAGCAGGCAGGAUCCUUGUGUUGUUUUCAAGGAACUGUGGAAUUAAAGGCCUUAAGUCAGAAAUUUCUAAUUUGAUCCAAUUAAAACUACUUGUAUCUUAUGGAUGUGAUUCAGAUUUAAUUUAGUAGUUUUAAAUAAUCCAUAGAAAG